GACAAUGCUCUUUGGCUCUGACCAUGCCAGCAGGCUUCACGGUUCUCGUUUUCCAAAGAGGAACACAGAUUCAGCGAGCGGCUGCUGGCUUCUGACCCAUUUUGAUGUCAGGGCUUGGCACGUAGGAGGUGUUCAAUGUUGAUCGAUCCAAGGUCGUGCACAUAGGGUCUAAGACGGAAGAGAACUUCCUGCCCCUCUUGGAGCUUCUAUUUUAGAGGGAGACACGGCCAGACAGGUCUCGAACUCCUGGCCUCAAGUGAUCCGCACACCUUGGCCUCCCAAAAUGCUGGGAUUCCAGGCGUGAGCCACCGCGCCUGGCCUGGAGCCAGGGCCCCAUAUUAUCUACCGCUGUCCAUCUGCUCUCCAGCACAUCAGAGCAGCCCUUCCCCUGUGUGAGAUUCCUCUCCAGGGCAAGACUUGAAGGGAGCAUCAAGGUUGCAGUGGAAGAAAUAAAUUGGAAGUGGAGCUGG
rnacentral:lncRNA from 1 species